GUCUUUAUUCAUAAUAUGGACGAAUAGCAGUCGGUAUAAUACAUUGUCUGGUAAGAUAAAGCUGAUUCCGGGAACCGCGUGAUCAUUUUCGGAAUUGGGAGACAUUCUGAUCACAUCUCUAGUAAAUGAGACUACAUCACAAACGCAGUAAAAAAAUCGUUAUCGAAUUCUCUUUACCGGAUUGAGUCCUAUUAACAUAGGUCUUAACAAUCUAAAACCAAGAUAAGAACAUAACAAAAAAUAAUUUUAUUUCAGUUGUAUGUUAAUUGGACUGCUAAGGGUAGUUUGAUGAAUACAGAAAUUUACAAUUAUGAAUUUGGUGUAGCAUCUGCUGAAAGUUCAGUUUCUGCCCCUGACGUUUUACCAUUUACGUUUACCCAUCACCAUUCUUGGUACCGUGGUUACCACCCACAACUAAGUGAUGGAACAGAAUUCUACAUCAGUAUUAAGGCAAUUAACAAAGCUGGAAAAGAAACUGUUCAGGGUUUAGACCCGAUCCUAGUUCAUACUAUCCCCCUACUCUUGGUGGCGAGGUAUUGGUUAAAUUUGAGGAUGAGAUAUUGGAGGCUGAUUGGUCAGCAGCAAUUGUAUCUGAUCCCGAGUCGUCGCAACUUACUUUUACAGCGGCCGUAGGUAGUUCACCAGGAACCGAAGACGUGUAUCCGUAUUCUUCGUUAUCGUCUGGCGGAAGUUGUAUGCUAGCUAACCCACCAACCUGUACAGCUUUUUCCAUGGAGGAUUUUCAUUGGGAUUUACAUCACAGCUUUACCUACUAUGUAUCUAUAAGAGUAGAGAAUAUAGUUGGA